GGGUUGUGAGGUUAAGCGACUAAGCGUACACGGUGGAUGCCCUGGCAGUCAGAGGCGAUGAAGGACGUGCUAAUCUGCGAUAAGCGUCGGUAAGGUGAUAUGAACCGUUAUAACCGGCGAUUUCCGAAUGGGGAAACCCAGUGUGUUUCGACACACUAUCAUUAACUGAAUCCAUAGGUUAAUGAGGCGAACCGGGGGAACUGAAACAUCUAAGUACCCCGAGGAAAAGAAAUCAACCGAGAUUCCCCCAGUAGCGGCGAGCGAACGGGGAGCAGCCCAGAGCCUGAAUCAGUGUGUGUGUUAGUGGAAGCGUCUGGAAAGGCGCGCGAUACAGGGUGACAGCCCCGUACACAAAAAUGCACAUACUGUGAGCUCGAUGAGUAGGGCGGGACACGUGGUAUCCUGUCUGAAUAUGGGGGGACCAUCCUCCAAGGCUAAAUACUCCUGACUGACCGAUAGUGAACCAGUACCGUGAGGGAAAGGCGAAAAGAACCCCGGCGAGGGGAGUGAAAAAGAACCUGAAACCGUGUACGUACAAGCAGUGGGAGCACGCUUAGGCGUGUGACUGCGUACCUUUUGUAUAAUGGGUCAGCGACUUAUAUUCUGUAGCAAGGUUAACCGAAUAGGGGAGCCGAAGGGAAACCGAGUCUUAACUGGGCGUUAAGUUGCAGGGUAUAGACCCGAAACCCGGUGAUCUAGCCAUGGGCAGGUUGAAGGUUGGGUAACACUAACUGGAGGACCGAACCGACUAAUGUUGAAAAAUUAGCGGAUGACUUGUGGCUGGGGGUGAAAGGCCAAUCAAACCGGGAGAUAGCUGGUUCUCCCCGAAAGCUAUUUAGGUAGCGCCUCGUGAAUUCAUCUCCGGGGGUAGAGCACUGUUUCGGCAAGGGGGUCAUCCCGACUUACCAACCCGAUGCAAACUGCGAAUACCGGAGAAUGUUAUCACGGGAGACACACGGCGGGUGCUAACGUCCGUCGUGAAGAGGGAAACAACCCAGACCGCCAGCUAAGGUCCCAAAGUCAUGGUUAAGUGGGAAACGAUGUGGGAAGGCCCAGACAGCCAGGAUGUUGGCUUAGAAGCAGCCAUCAUUUAAAGAAAGCGUAAUAGCUCACUGGUCGAGUCGGCCUGCGCGGAAGAUGUAACGGGGCUAAACCAUGCACCGAAGCUGCGGCAGCGACGCUGAUGCGUUGUUGGGUAGGGGAGCGUUCUGUAAGCCUGCGAAGGUGUGCUGUGAGGCAUGCUGGAGGUAUCAGAAGUGCGAAUGCUGACAUAAGUAACGAUAAAGCGGGUGAAAAGCCCGCUCGCCGGAAGACCAAGGGUUCCUGUCCAACGUUAAUCGGGGCAGGGUGAGUCGACCCCUAAGGCGAGGCCGAAAGGCGUAGUCGAUGGGAAACAGGUUAAUAUUCCUGUACUUGGUGUUACUGCGAAGGGGGGACGGAGAAGGCUAUGUUGGCCGGGCGACGGUUGUCCCGGUUUAAGCGUGUAGGCUGGUUUUCCAGGCAAAUCCGGAAAAUCAAGGCUGAGGCGUGAUGACGAGGCACUACGGUGCUGAAGCAACAAAUGCCCUGCUUCCAGGAAAAGCCUCUAAGCAUCAGGUAACAUCAAAUCGUACCCCAAACCGACACAGGUGGUCAGGUAGAGAAUACCAAGGCGCUUGAGAGAACUCGGGUGAAGGAACUAGGCAAAAUGGUGCCGUAACUUCGGGAGAAGGCACGCUGAUAUGUAGGUGAAGUCCCUCGCGGAUGGAGCUGAAAUCAGUCGAAGAUACCAGCUGGCUGCAACUGUUUAUUAAAAACACAGCACUGUGCAAACACGAAAGUGGACGUAUACGGUGUGACGCCUGCCCGGUGCCGGAAGGUUAAUUGAUGGGGUUAGCGCAAGCGAAGCUCUUGAUCGAAGCCCCGGUAAACGGCGGCCGUAACUAUAACGGUCCUAAGGUAGCGAAAUUCCUUGUCGGGUAAGUUCCGACCUGCACGAAUGGCGUAAUGAUGGCCAGGCUGUCUCCACCCGAGACUCAGUGAAAUUGAACUCGCUGUGAAGAUGCAGUGUACCCGCGGCAAGACGGAAAGACCCCGUGAACCUUUACUAUAGCUUGACACUGAACAUUGAGCCUUGAUGUGUAGGAUAGGUGGGAGGCUUUGAAGUGUGGACGCCAGUCUGCAUGGAGCCGACCUUGAAAUACCACCCUUUAAUGUUUGAUGUUCUAACGUUGACCCGUAAUCCGGGUUGCGGACAGUGUCUGGUGGGUAGUUUGACUGGGGCGGUCUCCUCCUAAAGAGUAACGGAGGAGCACGAAGGUUGGCUAAUCCUGGUCGGACAUCAGGAGGUUAGUGCAAUGGCAUAAGCCAGCUUGACUGCGAGCGUGACGGCGCGAGCAGGUGCGAAAGCAGGUCAUAGUGAUCCGGUGGUUCUGAAUGGAAGGGCCAUCGCUCAACGGAUAAAAGGUACUCCGGGGAUAACAGGCUGAUACCGCCCAAGAGUUCAUAUCGACGGCGGUGUUUGGCACCUCGAUGUCGGCUCAUCACAUCCUGGGGCUGAAGUAGGUCCCAAGGGUAUGGCUGUUCGCCAUUUAAAGUGGUACGCGAGCUGGGUUUAGAACGUCGUGAGACAGUUCGGUCCCUAUCUGCCGUGGGCGCUGGAGAAUUGAGGGGGGCUGCUCCUAGUACGAGAGGACCGGAGUGGACGCAUCACUGGUGUUCGGGUUGUCAUGCCAAUGGCACUGCCCGGUAGCUAAAUGCGGAAGAGAUAAGUGCUGAAAGCAUCUAAGCACGAAACUUGCCCCGAGAUGAGUUCUCCCUGACUCCUUGAGAGUCCUGAAGGAACGUUGAAGACGACGACGUUGAUAGGCCGGGUGUGUAAGCGCAGCGAUGCGUUGAGCUAACCGGUACUAAUGAACCGUGAGGCUUAACCUUACAACGCCGAAGGUGUUU
rnacentral:rRNA from 1 species